AUUGAACGCUGGCGGCAGGCCUAACACAUGCAAGUCGAGCGGAUGAAGGGAGCUUGCUCCUGGAUUCAGCGGCGGACGGGUGAGUAAUGCCUAGGAAUCUGCCUGGUAGUGGGGGAUAACGUCCGGAAACGGGCGCUAAUACCGCAUACGUCCUGAGGGAGAAAGUGGGGGAUCUUCGGACCUCACGCUAUCAGAUGAGCCUAGGUCGGAUUAGCUAGUUGGUGGGGUAAAGGCCUACCAAGGCGACGAUCCGUAACUGGUCUGAGAGGAUGAUCAGUCAAACUGAACCUGAGCACGGGCCCAAACCCUUAGGGGAGGAGGAGUGGGGAAUAUUGGACAAUGGGCGAAAGCCUGAUCCAGCCAUGCCGCGUGUGUGAAGAAGGUCUUCGGAUUGUAAAGCACUUUAAGUUGGGAGGAAGGGCAGUAAGUUAAUACCUUGCUGUUUUGACGUUACCAACAGAAUAAGCACCGGCUAACUUCGUG
rnacentral:rRNA from 1 species